rnacentral:piRNA from 1 species
UGGCCACCAUCUUUUGUUUAUGGACUGAC